GGUUAAGCGACUAAGCGUACACGGUGGAUGCCCUGGCAGUCAGAGGCGAUGAAGGACGUGCUAAUCUGCGAAAAGCGUCGGUAAGGUGAUAUGAACCGUUACAGCCGGCGAUGUCCGAAUGGGGAAACCCAGUGCAAUUCGUUGCACUAUCGUUAACUGAAUACAUAGGUUAACGAGGCGAACCGGGGGAACUGAAACA
rnacentral:rRNA from 1 species